rnacentral:tRNA from 1 species
GGGAUUGUAGCUCAGUGGUAGAGCACUUGCCUCACAUGCGAGAGGCAGAGUUCGAUCCCC